GACGAACGCUGGCGGCGUGCCUAAUACAUGCAAGUAGAACGCUGAAGAGAGGAGCUUGCUCUUCUUGGAUGAGUUGCGAACGGGUGAGUAACGCGUAGGUAACCUGCCUUGUAGCGGGGGAUAACUAUUGGAAACGAUAGCUAAUACCGCAUAACAAUGGAUGACACAUGUCAUUUAUUUGAAAGGGGCAAUUGCUCCACUACAAGAUGGACCUGCGUUGUAUUAGCUAGUAGGUGAGGUAAUGGCUCACCUAGGCGACGAUACAUAGCCGACCUGAGAGGGUGAUCGGCCCCACUGAGACUGAGACACGGCCCAGACUCCUACGGGAGGCAGCAGUAGGGAAUCUUCGGCAAUGGGGGCAACCCUGACCGAGCAACGCCGCGUGAGUGAAGAAGGUUUUCGGAUCGUAAAGCUCUGUUGUAAGUCAAGAACGGGUGUGAGAGUGGAAAGUUCACACUGUGACGGUAGCUUACCAGAAAGGGACGGCUAACUACGUG
rnacentral:rRNA from 1 species